GACGUAGGGGCGCGAGCGUUUGUCCGGAUUUAUUGGGCGUAAAGAGCUCGUAGGCGGUUUGUCGCGUCGUCUGUGAAAACCCACGGCUCAACUGUGGGCUUGCAGUCGAUACGGGCAGACUAGAGUUCGGUAGGGGAGUCUGGAAUUCCUGGUGUAGCGGUGAAAUGCGCAGAUAUCAGGAGGAACACCGGCGGCGAAGGCGGGUCUCUGGGCCGUAACUGACGCUGAGGAGCGAAAGCAUGGGGGAGCGAACAGG
rnacentral:rRNA from 1 species